AUCCCUUUUUUCAGAGGUUUCUUGGACCUCAAAGGAUUAGCAGUAAAGAGAUAAACCUGAGGAUUUUUUAAUUGUUAUUAUUUUUAUAUCAGUUUAUAUCAAAGCCAUAGUGUUUCGUCCUUUAAAUUACUGUGAUUUGUUAAACUCUGCUUUCCGCGUUUUUUGAUUUUUCUGUCACAGAACCUAAAUUGGUAAUAAAUCAGUAAGAAACAAGUGUUUACAUUCACUCAAUGAAAAGGAUCGUGUGCAGGCUCCCCGCGGAUCGGAACUGCACGUGGACAGCUCUCCCCACUCCACUGUGAGGAAAAAUGAACAAAUCCCAGACCAACCAUCAGCAGUCGAUGAUGGAACAUAAGGGAAAGAAAACAUCAUGUACCACUCCCUGAUUGAUUUUAGAUUGGGAGAAUUUCGCAUAAAAGGCACAAAUGCAAGAUUGACUGAAGCAGAACUGCAA